GAUGAACGCUAGCUACAGGCUUAACACAUGCAAGUCGAGGGACCGGCGCACGGGUGAGUAACACGUAUCCAACCUGCACUUUACUCGGGGAUAGCCUUUCGAGAGAAAGAUUAAUGCCCGAUAUAAAGGAUGAGGAUGCGUUACGUUAGGUUGUUGGUGAGGUAACGGCUCACCAAGCCUUCGAUGGCUAGGGGUGCUGAGAGGAAGUCCCCCUGAAACGGAGCCGCGACACGGUCUCCACCCGGACGCGAGGCAGCAGUGAAGAAUACUGGUCAAUGGGCGGUAGUCUGACCCAGCCAAGUAGCGGGAAGGAUGCAGGCUUAUGGGUCGUAAACUUCUGUUAUAGAAGAAUAGGUAUUAUAUGAAUAAGGACCGGCUAACUCCGUGCCAGCAGCCGCGGUAAUAC
rnacentral:rRNA from 1 species